CAUGCAGGCGGUGCACCAAGUCGGGGGUGUAAAGUUACGGCUCAACCGUGACCUUGCAAUCGAAACUGGCGCACUGGAGUGCGGGAGAGGGAAGUGGAAUUCCCGGUGUAGCGGUGAAAUGCGUAGAUAUCGGGAGGAACGCCAGUGGCGAAGGCGGCUUCCUGGCCCGCGACUGACGCUCAUGUGCGAAAGCCAGGGGAGCGAACCG
rnacentral:rRNA from 1 species